rnacentral:rRNA from 1 species
GGUAUUGAAAUAAGGCUUUAAAUGGGUGCUAAGAGAAUGGUUUAACGAUUAAUAACUUUCUUUAAUUAAUAAAUUGAAUUUAAUUUUUUUGUGAAGAAGCAAAAAUUUAAAUUAGGGACAAGAAGACCCUAUGAAUUUUUAUUAGAUUGUGAUGAGAAUUAAUUGAAAUCUAAUUUGGUUGGGGUGAUUAAAAAAGAAUAUAUAUCUUUUUGUAUUAAAGAAAUUAAUUUGUUCCGUUAUUAACGAUUAAAUGAGAAAAAUACUCUAGGGAUAACAGCGUAAUAAUUUUGGAUAGUUCAUAUAGAUAAAAUAGUUUGCGACCUCGAUGUUGGAUUAGGAUCC